rnacentral:tRNA from 1 species
UCGCCGGGUGCGGUGGCGCGGCUGUCGGCCUAUCACUGGCCGGGCAACGUGCGCCAGCUGGAGAACGUGCUGUUCCAGGCGGUGUCGCUGUGC